rnacentral:rRNA from 1 species
AUUAACAGGAUUAGAUACCCUGGUAGUCCAUGCCGUAAACGUUGGGCACUAGGUGUGGGGCUCAUUCUACGAGUUCCGUGCCGCAGCUAACGCAUUAAGUGCCCCGCCUGGGGAGUACGGCCGCAAGGCUAAAACUCAAAGGAAUUGACGGGGGCCCGCACAAGCGGCGGAGCAUGCGGAUUAAUUCGAUGCAACGCGAAGAACCUUACCAAGGCUUGACAUAUACCGAAAACUCAUGGAGACAUGAGGUCCGCAAGGGCGGUAUACAGGUGGUGCAUGGUUGUCGUCAGCUCGUGUCGUGAGAUGUUGGGUUAAGUCCCGCAACGAGCGCAACCCUCGUCUUAUGUUGCCAGCACGUAAUGGUGGGGACUCAUAGGAGACUGCCGGGGUCAACUCGGAGGAAGGUGGGGAUGAGGUCAAAUCAUCAUGCCCCUUAUGUCUUGGGCUUCACGCAUGCUACAAUGGCCGGUACAGAGGGCUGCGAUACCGCAAGGUGGAGCGAAUCCCAAAAAGCCGGUCUCAGUUCGGAUUGGGGUCUGCAACUCGACCCCAUGAAGUCGGAGUCGCUAGUAAUCGCAGAUCAGCAACGCUGCGGUGAAUUCGUUCCCGGGCCUUGUACACACCGCCCGUCAAGUCACGAAAGUCGGUAACACCCGAAGCCGGUGGCCCAACCCUCGUGGAGGGAGCCGUCGAAGGUGGGACUGGCGAUUGGGACUAAGUCGUAAC